GGGCCCGUAGCUCAGCUAGGACAGAGCACCGGGCUUUUAACCCGGGGGCCGCGGGUUCAAUUCCCGCCGGGCCCGCCA
rnacentral:tRNA from 1 species